CUGAUAUGUUUGGAAGAAGUGGAGCUAAUAUUUUUAGGAAGAAUGAAAACUACAGGUUGAAACCAGCAUAUAUGCCGACAGAAUUCGAAUUCACAUAACGCUCCUAAAAAUGCCAGCAGCUAAUAUUAAUACAGCAUAAGCAAGAUUUUCAAAAUUCCUUUUGUUUAUUGGCAAUAGUGUCAUGAGGCAUCCAUGGCGAAUGGUUGACUUAUAGUUCAUAGCCUGGUGAUUUUGCAUGGGACAUCAAGAGGCCGUUUGGUUGGAUUCCAUGAGAGAGAAUUACAUGUAAUCCUUAUGUCACGCCCUGAUUUAUAUGUUUGGUUGGGCUUAUAUAAUAUAAAAAGAAUUACAUUUUGUAAUACUAAUUAUAUCAAGUGAAGUCGUCAUUUCUGCUUGGUCA